GGCACUCUGGGGACACUGCCACCGUAAGGUGUGAGGAAGGUGGGGAUGACGUCAAAUCAGCACGGCCCUUACGUCCGGGGCUACACACGUGUUACAAUGGCAGGUACAGAGAGACGGUCCCUUGCAAAAUGGAUCAAAUCCUUAAAGCCUGUCUCAGUUCGGACUGGGGUCUGCAACCCGACCCCACGAAGCUGGAUUCGCUAGUAAUCGCGCAUCAGCCAUGGCGCGGUGAAUACGUUCCCGGGCCUUGUACACACCGCCCGUCAAGCCAUGAAAGCCGGGGGCGCCUAAAGUCCGUGACCGUAAGGAGCGGCCUAGGGCGAAACUGGUAAUUGGGGCUAAGUCGUAACAAGGUAGCCGUACCGGAAGGUGCGGCUGGAACACCUCCUUUCUGGAGAGAC
rnacentral:rRNA from 1 species